rnacentral:lncRNA from 1 species
AUACAGUGACCUCGGGCGGCGGGUCACGUCGGCCGGGCAUGGCUGCAUGGAGCCCGGCCGCGGCAGCGCCUCUCCUCCGCGGGAUCCGCGGGUUCUUCCACUGCGGUGACUUUCAGCGUGGACAGUGAUCAUCUGGGGAUGUCAGUUGAUUGUUCCACUAAAGGCCGCUGCCCACAGAUCCGCUAAGAUGAAAGGCUUCUCCCAAGGAUUCUGCAACGCUCACCUCUCUCACCCCUUAGUAGCUGCCGAUUCUGUCUGCCAUCUGGUUACUCUCUGCCUUUACCCUCAAGAUUCUGCCCCCAGAAGCAGCUCCACCCCACCCUCACUCCUGGCAAUCCUGUCCAGCCUCUCAACAUCGAGUUUCUGUCCCUCCACACAGCAGGCAGACAAUCACACUCUGGACCUUUCUCCUGUCUUGCAUUUCUGUCCCUAAUUGACUAGUUCUUCCCCUGCUCAUUCAUUCAUCCAGCACCAAGUGCCUCUGAGGGCCUGCCCUGGGGUCAGCUCUGGGAUGCUGCCGGACUCAUUCCUGGCCUAUAAGACCAGUGGUGAGAGAGCCAGUGCACAGCUCAUUUUAAAGGAGGUGCUCUGAGAUUCUGUGACACAGGACCCUGCUCUGAGCUAUCAGGAAGGACUGAGGGGUAGAGGGGUGGGACCUUCAGCACCAGCACCCAUGAACGGCCCUAGUGUCCUCCAACCUGUCAUCCACGUCUAGUCAGGGACCAGUGCCCGGUGCUUCCAUCAUUGUAAUGCCUCUUACUUGGGCAUCUCUCCUGACUCGCUCCAGAAGGCACUGUUUCCUGCAGGUUACUUUGGUCCCAUGAGCCUGGGUUCUAUCACCUGGAGUCCCAUCUCCUGUCCCAUACAGUCCACAAUCUUUAGCCUGGCAUUCAAGGCCUGCCACACUCCAUUCCCAGUCUGCCUUUUCAGCAUGCACUCAGCCCAGCCAAGUGACUGCCGACCUGCUUUUCUGCUCCUUCACUACUAACUGUUGAGACGUGUUCCAUCAGAAACAUGGGCUCCCCUGGCCGGGCGUGGUGGCUCAUGCCUGUAAUCCUAGAAUUUUGGGAGGUUGAGCUUCCACUUCACCAUCGGAUGUUUGCCACUCAGACUGAGGGGGAGCUCAGAGUGACCCAAAUUCUCAAAGAAAAGUUUCCACGAGCUACAGCUAUAAAAGUCACUGACAUUUCAGGCACUAAAAGAAGAAAUCAAAGAGAUGCAUGGAUUGCGGAUAUUUACCUCUGUCCCCAAACGCUGACCACGCCCUGGCUGCAUAGAUGCUGCUGCUUAAGACCUUGGAUGAACUUCACUGACAUCAUUCUUCCCUAAGCAGUCACCAAAAAAUUUAUAUAUUUUGCUCAUAUACAUUUCCAUAUUAUAAUUAUAGAAGAUGUAUAAUCUAUUUAGAUGUUAAUUAAAGGAAACAAACAACUGAA